rnacentral:rRNA from 1 species
CUCGUCACACUAUCAUUAACUGAAUCCAUAGGUUAAUGAGGCGAACCGGGGGAACUGAAACAUCUAAGUACCCCGAGGAAAAGAAAUCAACCGAGAUUCCCCCAGUAGCGGCGAGCGAACGGGGAGGAGCCCAGAGCCUGAAUCAGCAUGUGUGUUAGUGGAAGCGUCUGGAAAGGCGCGCGAUACAGGGUGACAGCCCCGUACACAAAAGCGCAUGUGCUGUGAGCUCGAUGAGUAGGGCGGGACACGUGGUAUCCUGUCUGAAUAUGGGGGGACCAUCCUCCAAGGCUAAAUACUCCUGACUGACCGAUAGUGAACCAGUACCGUGAGGGAAAGGCGAAAAGAACCCCGGCGAGGGGAGUGAAAAAGAACCUGAAACCGUGUACGUACAAGCAGUGGGAGCACCCUUCGGGGUGUGACUGCGUACCUUUUGUAUAAUGGGUCAGCGACUUAUAUUCUGUAGCAAGGUUAACCGUAUAGGGGAGCCGUAGGGAAACCGAGUCUUAAC